UACGGGGGGAGCAAGCGUUGUUCGGAAUUACUGGGUGUAAAGGGCGCGUAGGCGGCCAGCAGAAGUCAGUGGGGAAAUCUCCGAGCUUAACUCGGAAAGGGCAACUGAUACUGUGCGGCUAGAGUGCAGAAGGGGCAACUGGAAUUCUUGGUGUAGCGGUGAAAUGCGUAGAUAUCUGGAGGAACACCGGUGGCGAAGGCGGCAUCCUGGACCGGCAUUGACGCUGAGGCGCGAAAGCUAGGGGAGCAAACGGG
rnacentral:rRNA from 1 species